ACUGGAAUCAUGAGUGUGUCACUCGUGAAUUUAAAAGGAAAAAUUAUGAUGUCACUUUUUAAAGUAGUGUUGUCCAAAGCUGGUGCCAGAAGACUCGGUAAGGCCAGAGACGCAAGCGUUAAUCAUCCUGAUAAGGCGUAAAGGGUUUGUAGGCAGCUUUAAUAAAAUUAAAGAUUGAAUCAUAUAGAGGUCAAGAGAAUUUCUAGAUUAGGGUUGAUAUCUGUAUAAACUAGAAAGAAUUCUAAUUAGCGAAGGCACUUUUCUAUCUAAUGAUUGACGCUGAUAAACGAAGGGGAGGAUCGACAAUAGGAUUAGAGACCCUGGCAUCCCUCUCUGUAAACGAUGAAUGGUAGUUGCUAGUAAUAAUAAUUAGUGACGAUGCUAACGCGUUAACCAUUCCGCCUUGUAAGUACUACUGCAAAGUUGAAAACAAAAAAAUUAGUCGGUUUCGGAGCAAACGAAGUGAAGCAUGUUAUUUAAUUC
rnacentral:rRNA from 1 species